AAAUUUCUAGGGAGAAUUUUGAUNAAUGACAUUGUCUGCCUAUGUGUCUUGACCAAAAUACGUGCCAGCGACGCGGUAAUACGUAGAARACUAGUGUUAUUCAUGUUUNAUCGGUUUAAAGGGUACCUAGACGGUAAAUCWAGCCUAAAAUUAAAUGAAGGGAGUAAUUUACCAGAGUUACUUUUGAGGGGGUAUUAAAGUACUGCUGGUGUAGAGAUGAAAUUCUGUCAYACCUCUUUUCUAUAGAAAAAUAAUGGCACAGGUAUAGGCGAAAGCAUCCCCCUUAUGUGAUAACCGACGUUGAGGGACGAAGGCUUUGUGUAGCGAACAGGAUUAGAUACCCCCGUAGUCAAAGCAGAAAAUGAUGAAUGUCAUAGAUUAGAUAAAUAAGUUUUUUCUAUAAAUGAAAGUGUAAGCAUUCCMCCUCCAGAGUAAUUUGGCAACAUUGGAACUGAAAUCAUUAGACCGUUUYUGAAACCCGUAGUGAAGUAUGUUGUUUAAUUUGAUGAUCCGCAAAAAACCYUACCACAAUUUGAAUAUUUAUAUCUUUUAUUGUUUUUUUUUAUUUUCUUCUCUUCUGAUUUGAUUUUUCUAAAGAAAAAGAGGCGAUGUGAUAUAUUUACCAGCGUUGCACGGCGGUCUUCAGUUAAUGUCGCGAGACUUUGGUUAGUUCCCUUAAAUUAACGUAAACCCYUACUUUAUUUUUAUAUAGAGUAGUUCCCCGCAUAUGGAUUUGA
rnacentral:rRNA from 1 species